rnacentral:lncRNA from 1 species
CCAGAAUUCCCCACAAGCCUCGAUACUCCAAUUGCACCAACUUCCCCUCCUACAAGCUUCUUGAACCAAAAAAUCUUUUCUGAUGUAGAAGAUCAGCCAAAGCUGCGACCACAGAGCAUACUAAGAUUCCCCCCUCAAGCUAGGCGACCUGGCUCUGAUACCACUUAUUGGGAAAAAAGAAAUGACCCUUUCCCGUAAACCCUGAGAUCUCCGCCCCUUUUGUAAAGAGAAAAAUUGAGAAAUAAAACAAUACAAG